UUAGCACAGGAAAAAAAAAAUCAUCUGAUAGCAAUUUGUAUAAUUAGUUUAUCAAUCAAAUUAACACACUAUAAACCACACAAUUCAGUCCUUGAAUCGCAAAAUCAGAGUAUUUCUUUUGUAAUUUUUGAUUAAAUUUCAUUGAAGCCUAACCCUAAUUGAAUGGCGGAGUCGAGAAAAAAACCAUCGGAAGGAAUUGCCUUGCUGUCUAUGUACAGCGACGAAGAUGACGAGGAUAUGGAGGAUCUCAACCACGAACCACCACAAGAACGAGGAGAAGAAGCUGAAGCUGAAGAAGCGGAGCAGCUAGUAGAGGGAGGAGCCGCUGCUGAUAGAGUGAAUGACGGUGGUGGUGAUGUGAUGGUUACUGAUGAAUUUGGUUCUAAUUUUAAUUUAAAUCAGAAUGUGAGACCUCAAUCACGCCCUCCGACGCCGCAAGAACACCCUCAGGCUCCGGUGAAGCGGCAGCAGCACGCGAGGAGAAGUAGUAGGCGAGGGAGGCUUGCCAUUGUAGACUAUGCUCAUGAUGAAACUGCCAUGUCUCCCGAACUUGAUGAAGAGGAAUUUGAUGAGGAGCUUCAAAUUGCCAAUGGCCAAGAAAAUACUCCUCCAGGAACUGUUCAGAUCUUAACUCCAAAUAUUCAAGCAACUCCUCAAUCGUCAGAACAUCUAGAAACAUCACAACAAUAUGAUGUGAAUGAUACUGGCAUUCAAUCUGAAGAUGCAGAAAAUGAAGCUGCUACUAAUGUUUCUGCCGAAAACAUUGAUGCAUUGGAUAAAUUUCUCCCCCCAUCACCAAAAGAGAAGUGCCCAGAGGAGUUGCGUAGGAAAAUAGAAAAAUUUAUAUCUUUGAAAAAAGUUGGGAGGAGUUUCAAUGCAGAAGUACGCAAUAGAAAGGAUUAUCGGAAUCCUGACUUUUUGCUGCAUGCUGUGAGGUACCAAGAUAUUGAUCAGAUAGGGUCAUGCUUCAGUAAAGAUGUAUUUGACCCUCAUGGAUACGACAAAAGCGAUUUUUUGGAUGAAAUAGAAGCUGAUAUGCGACGUGAAAGGGAGAGAAAAGAGCAAGAGCUGAAGAGAAGUCCUAAGGUUGAAUUUAUUUCAGGAGGAUCUCAGCCUGGACAGGUGGUGCCCACAUCAAAGUUUAGCAUGCCUAUUUCAGCAUCUGCUACUGCUGCCAGUGGGUUGCAUUCAGCAUCAACUGCAGGAGAUGCUGUUGCUCGCGAUAGCAGACAGAACAAGAAGUCUAAAUGGGACAAGGUGGAUGGUGAUGUUAGAAAUUCUCUACCCACUGGUGGGCAGGAUUCUUUAGCCACAGUGUCAGCCCAUACCACACUUCUAUCUGCAGCUAAUGCUGGUGCUGGAUAUACAGCCUUUGUGCAGCAGAAACGGCGAGAGGCAGAAGAAAAAAGAUCCAAUGAAAGGAAAUUGGAGAGAAGAUCUUGACUCCUGGCUUGAGCAGUUGAAUUUAAUUGCAAAAUCAAUAGACACCAAUUAGUGGAUGAUGAGAUUGCCUAAAGAAACCUUGCCACAUUUUUUUCCUUGCACUUUUAGCUAAUUCAGUGAAAUGGAAAUCACAAUCAGUUUACCUGUAAUUCUGAUUUUGAGGUCCAAAUGUAACAUAGCUAGAUGAUGCUCUUCAUGUAAUAGUGCAGAUUUGGAUUAUUGGCGCAGAAGAGAAGGUUUCUAGCAGAUGCUACUACUUGGUGAUGGUUCAAAUUUCAAAGAUUAUGUGCGGUGGCACACUGUUUUAUGUUACAGAAAGUGGGAUUUUUCUUUUCUAUCUGGCCACCUUUUUUCCGUGCAGUGAGUGUUCCUUUUCCUCUCAAUAUAAAGCCAAAUUUGUAGGAGAAAACGCCCAUCUAACAUAGAUAGGGCCAUCACUACUAUUCUUGAUUUGCUGAUAUUAGUUUAAACUAAAACAUUUAAGCACCGUUUGGACUGAAUAAUAUUAAAAUUUAUAAAA